AACGAACGCUGGCGGCAUGCCUAACACAUGCAAGUCGAACGAGACCUUCGGGUCUAGUGGCGCACGGGCGCGUAACGCGUGGGAACCUGCCCUUAGGUUAGGUAUAACUCCCCGAAAGGGGUGCUAAUACCGGAUAAUGUCUUCGGACCAAAGCUUUAUCGUCUUUGGAUGGGCCCGCGUUGGAUUAGCUAGUUGGUAGGGUAAAAGCCUACCAAGGCGACGUUCCAUAGCUGGUCUGAGAGGAUGAUCAGCCACACUGGGACUGAGACACGGCCCAGACUCCGACGGGAGGCAGCAGUGGGGAAUAUUGGACAACAGGCGAAAGCCUGAUCCAGCAAUGCCGCGUAAGUGAUGAAGGCCUUAGGGUUAUAAAGCUCUUUUACCCGGGAUGAUAAUGACAGUACCGGGAGAAUAAGCGCCGGCUAACUCCGUG
rnacentral:rRNA from 1 species